UCCCCCUCUCGCUCUCUCUCUCUCUCUCUCGGAAUCAGCAUCGGCGCAAGCUGCGACGGGGCUUUGACGGUUCGGCGGUCCGAUUCCGACAUCUCGUGGCGACGGCAUUCGAGGUGGGGAGCUUCGUUUCCUCUGCGGGCUCCGGUGGAGCCUCAAGGUAUCCGACUUGAAGACCUCGAAAUCGCUCUUCUACUUCGUCGCCGCGAGUUCCGCGUCGAUUACUCUGGUUUCGUAAGCCGAAACUGCAGUUUUGGACACCUGGAGACGAAUUCGUCGGAGAAUGCCUUUUUGUUCCCCGUAGGAUCUCGGUUUCUUGCAUCUCUCGGAAGCUGCUGUCAAUUUCUAGUGCAGAGAAAGUUCGAAUCUCUACGGUCUAUGGCAGGGAUUUCUUGAAGUUUAGCUUUCCGCUGCUGCAUUGAUGGAUCCUUGGACCAAUAUCGAUGGAUAUGAGGAGCCAAGGUUGUCCUCUUUGAAUCAGAUGGACAUUAUAGCCUCUUAAAGCACAAUCUGGAAAUUGUUCAUUGCAUUCUUUUACUAUUACCAAUGGGUCACUCUAUGCUUUUCAUAGCACUUCCUUUUAUUUACCUCAUGUUAUACCUUCCACCACUUACCACUGCUGACUUAAGUUCUGAUGAGGAAGCACUCCUGGCCUUUGCUGCCUCAGUCCCUCAUGGCCGGAAAUUGAACUGGAGUUCCCAGAACCCCAUAUGUUCAUCUUGGGUUGGAGUCACUUGCACACCUGAUAAGACCCGUGUCCAUACUCUCCGGCUGCCAGCGGUUGGCCUUUUUGGCUCGAUUCCUUCUGAUACACUUGGGAAACUUGAUGCCCUUGAAGUCUUAAGUCUUCGGUCCAACCGCCUUAUUCUAAAUCUUGCUCCAGAUGUCCCAUCAAUUCCUUCUUUGCAUUCUUUGUACCUUCAACAUAAUAAUUUAUCUGGAAUUGUACCUGAUUUGCUCUCUUCCAACCUAACAUUUCUUGAUCUCUCCUAUAAUUUGUUCGUCGGUGAAAUUCCAUUGACAGUCCAAAACCUUACUCUUCUUACCGCAUUGUUUCUCCAGAACAAUUCUCUUUCUGGACCCAUCCCUAACCUUCAACUGCCCAAGCUUAGACGUCUGAAUCUGAGUUAUAACAACCUCAGUGGCCCCAUACCAAUUUCACUUCAAAAGUUCCCAGUGGAGUCUUUCUUGGGUAACCCUUUCCUCUGUGGGACUCCUCUAGCCCAAUGCUUUGGAGUUCCUCCCUCCUCUCCACCCUUCCCAGCAGAAGCCCCUACAAAACCCAGAAGAAGCUUUUGGAAAAAAAUAAGUACGGGAGUCAUCAUUGCAAUUGCUGCUGGUGGAUCAGCUCUUCUGCUUCUACUCAUUGUUUUAAUUUUGGUAUGCUUUUCCAAGAGGAAACGUAGGCAAGGCAGUGGAGAAUCAAAAGGCAAGGGUUCUCUUGGUGGAAGAAGCGAGAAACCUAAGGAGGAGUACAGCAGUAGUGUUCAAGAGGCCGAGAAGAAUAAAUUGGUUUUCUUUGAGGGAUGUUCUUAUAAUUUUGACUUGGAAGAUUUGUUAAGAGCUUCUGCUGAAGUUCUUGGGAAGGGAAGUCAUGGGACCACAUAUAAAGCUGUCCUAGAAGAUGGUACAACAGUUGUAGUGAAGAGGUUGAAGGAAGUAAUCAUCGGAAAGAGAGAGUUUGAACAGCAGAUGGAAAUGAUAGGAAGUGUCAGGCCACACCCCAAUGUAUUGCCACUUAGAGCUUAUUAUUACUCCAAGGAUGAGAAGCUUCUAAUAUAUGAUUAUGUCCCUUCUGGCAAUUUAUCCUCCCUCUUGCAUGGGAAUAAGGGGGGAGCUGGAAAAUCUCCCUUGGACUGGGAGUCGAGGAUAAAGGUUUCUCUUGGAGCAGCACGUGGUAUCGGUUGCAUUCACAUUGAUGGCAGCGGAAAGUUCAUUCAUGGAGAUAUUAAAUCCAAUAACAUACUCCUGACUCAGGAACUUGAUGCUUGUGUCUGUGAUUAUGGCCUUGCACCACUCAUGAACUCUGCAGCAACCCCAUCCAGAAUUGUAGUGGGCUACCGUGCACCCGAAGUCAUCGAGACUAGAAAAUAUACCCAGAAAUCUGAUGUCUACAGCUUUGGUGUCUUGCUACUUGAGAUGCUCACGGGAAAAGCUCCACUUCAGUCUCCAGGACGCGAUGAUGUUGCUGAUCUACCAAGAUGGGUCCAAUCUGUGGUUCGAGAAGAGUGGACUGCUGAAGUUUUUGAUGUAGAGUUGAUGAGGUAUCCGCACAUCGAGGAAGAAAUGGUUCAGAUGCUUCAGAUUGCGAUGGCAUGUGUUUCAAAAGCUCCAGAUCAACGACCGAAAAUGGAGGAGGUGAUCAGAAUGAUCGAGGACAUUCAGCACUCUGACUCGGAGAACAGACCAUCCUCUGAGAAACCAAGUUGAUAGUGUGUCCAAACGCCACAAGCAGGCACAGGAAGCACAAUGCAGCCCAUUUAUACGUUAGGAACAUCUCCAUCUUAUGCAGUUGAUCCUCUUAUCUCACCAAUACAAGGCAUUUGCAUGAACCAGCUAUAGUUGGUCAACGCCUGGUCAAAGUCUGAGUUAGUAUUUGAGAAAGAAGACCUCCCAACUGAUUAAUGGGAGAGAAGCAGUCAAACGCGAAUCUCGUACUGCUGCGGUCUCCUUUUUCUUAUUUUGCGGACGAAGACAGGUGUCGCGAUCACGUGCGUCUUUCGAGAAACAAAAGAAACAGCGAAGCGUGUUUUGACCAAAGCUAGCUCGCCGAUACCGUUGGUUGCCCAUCGGACGGCUCGUCGCUUGCCAACAUUUUUUGGGUGCCAAAAUGGUGCGAGAUCACAUCGAUGUAAUCGGAGCCGUCCGUUGCGGGAGCCUGACGCUUGUGAUCGGAAGCCAGCUGUGCGAGGACAAAAUGGUAAUAUCAAAACGACACAGGAAGACGGUGGUUGGAUGUUGGGUAAAAAGCUUAAAUGACGCCCCCCUUCCCCGUUACUUUUUUUCCCGCGUUGGAUCGAGACGCAAACCCCUCGCUUAAACCCUACCCUUUUGAUCCGACUCCACAUCCGUCUUUUCAUGUUUUAAGAGGUUUGUGUGAGUGGAAAGGAGGAGGCGAAACGAGUGUCCCUCUUUUUGGUCGAAUCGGAAUCCAUGGCUUUGCUCUUCCUUUUUGGGAUGAUUUGCGGCUUGUAGAGAUAUAGAGAGAGAGAGAGAGAGAGAGGUUCGGUCUGCGAUGGA